UACGUAGGGUGCGAGCGUUGUCCGGAAUUACUGGGCGUAAAGAGCUCGUAGGUGGUUUGUCGCGUUGUCCGUGAAAACUCACAGCUUAACUGUGGGCGUGCGGGCGAUACGGGCAGACUGGAGUACUGCAGGGGAGACUGGAAUUCCUGGUGUAGCGGUGGAAUGCGCAGAUAUCAGGAGGAACACCGAUGGCGAAGGCAGGUCUCUGGGCAUUAACUGACGCUGGAGGAGCGGAAAGCAUGGGGAGCGAACAGG
rnacentral:rRNA from 1 species